rnacentral:rRNA from 1 species
UACGGGGGGGGUAAGCGUUGUUCGGAAUUACUGGGCGUAAAGGGCUCGUAGGCGGCCAACUAAGUCAGACGUGAAAUCCCUCGGCUUAACCGGGGAACUGCAUCUGAUACUGGAUGGCUUGAGUUCGGGAGAGGGAUGCGGAAUUCCAGGUGUAGCGGUGAAAUGCGUAGAUAUCUGGAGGAACACCGGUGGCGAAGGCGGCAUCCUGGACCGAAAUUGACGCUGAGGAGCGAAAGCGUGGGGAGCAAACAGG